GAUGAACGCUGACAGAAUGCUUAACACAUGCAAGUCAACUUGAAUUUGGGUUUUUAACUUAGGUUUGGGUGGCGGACGGGUGAGUAACGCGUAAAGAACUUGCCUCACAGCUAGGGACAACAUUUGGAAACGAAUGCUAAUACCUAAUAUUAUGAUAAUAGGGCAUCCUAUAAUUAUGAAAGCUAUAAGCGCUGUGAGAGAGCUUUGCGUCCCAUUAGCUAGUUGGAGAGGUAACGGCUCACCAAGGCGAUGAUGGGUAGCCGGCCUGAGAGGGUGAUCGGCCACAAGGGGACUGAGACACGGCCCUUACUCCUACGGGAGGCAGCAGUGGGGAAUAUUGGACAAUGGACCGAGAGUCUGAUCCAGCAAUUCUGUGUGCACGAUGAAGUUUUUCGGAAUGUAAAGUGCCUUCAGUUGGGAAGAAACAAAUGACGGUACCAACAGAAGAAGUGACGGCUAAAUACGUG
rnacentral:rRNA from 1 species